UACGUAGGGAGCGAGCGUUGUCCGAAGUUACUGGGCGUAAAGCGCGCGUAGGCGGGCUGUUAAGUGAGAGGUGAAAGGCUGGGGCUUAACCCCAUGCAGUGCCUCUCAUACUGGCGGUCUUGAGUGCGGCAGGGAGAAGUGGAAUGGCUGGUGUAGCGGUGAAAUGCGUAGAUAUCAGUCGGAACACCAGUGGCGAAGGCGGCUCACUGGCCCGGUACUGACGCUGAGGCGCGAAAGCGUGGGGAGCAAACAGG
rnacentral:rRNA from 1 species